rnacentral:rRNA from 1 species
UACGUAGGGACCGAGCGUUGUCCGGAAUCAUUGGGCGUAAAGAGCGUGUAGGCGGCCACUUAAGUCCUGCGUGAAAUCCUGCGGCUCAACCGCAGGCGGUCGUGGGAAACUGGGUGGCUAGAGUGCGGUAGAGGAUGGCGGAAUUCCCGGUGUAGCAGUGAAAUGCGUAGAGAUCGGGAGGAACAUCUGUGGCGAAGGCGGCCAUCUGGACCAGCACUGACACUGAGGCACGAAAGCGUGGGGAGCAAACAGG